rnacentral:rRNA from 1 species
CCCUAUUAUUUUAAAUUUAAAUUAUUCUUUAUAAUAGUUAUUUUCUUAAAAUUUAAAGAAUUUGGCGGUAGUUUAAUCUAUCUAGAGGAAUUUGUAUAAUAAUCGAUACACCUCGUUGAAUUUCACUUAUUUUAAAAGUUUGUAUAUCAUCAUUAACAGAUUAUAUUUAAAAAUAAUUAUUAAUAUUGAUUAAUUAUAAAAAUUAGAUCACGAUACAGCUAUAAGUAAGAAUAUAUUAAUUACAAUAAUUUUAUUUAAUUUGGAUUGUUAUAGGAAGUUACAACAUGAAAUUGGAUUUAGUUGUAUUAAAAAAAUUAAUAAAGUUUUAAGAUAUAAGAUCUAAAUUGUGUACAC